rnacentral:sRNA from 1 species
GUUCGCUAGCGAAAACUAUAAUCAUAAACUGAGUCCUCGACUCAGCAUCUCAUAACGACAUCUUACUUACCCCCUCCUUAACCGGAGGGUUUUUUUU